rnacentral:sRNA from 1 species
UUUUAAACCCAGUGCCUAGGGCCCAGCUGCUCCUUGCCCAUUUGCAGGCGGGUUUUGGCAUGUCCAGGCAGAGAUAAGUACAGAAAGCGAGAGUAAGCCUUUAGGAAUUUGGAGAGCAGUUUGACAGCACCACAACAUCCAAAAUGGAGGCAACCUGCUGUGUGCAGUGGAUGAAUCCAAUGAUCACAUGCUCUCGGUGUGGGACUGGGCCAAGGAGACCAAGGUGGUGGAUGUCAAGUGCUCCAAUGAGGCUGUAUUGGUGGCCACCUUCCACCCCACGGACCCCACUGUGCUUAUCACCUGCGGGAAAUCUCACAUCUACUUCUGGACCUUGGAGGGGGGCAGCUUGAGCAAGCGGCAAGGCCUCUUUGAGAAACAUGAGAAACCGAAGUAUGUGCUGUGUGUGACCUUUUUGGAAGGUGGCGACGUGGUCACGGGGGACUCUGGGGGGAACCUCUAUGUUUGGGGCAAAGGUGGGAACCGUAUCACACAGGCGGUGCUGGGCGCCCACGACGGCGGCGUGUUUGGGCUCUGCGCCCUGCGGGACGGGACGCUGG